GGUUUCACCCUGCCCUACUUGGCUCCUCAGCCAAUCACUGUUUACACCGAGAGGAUAAAAGUAGGACAGGUCCCCCCCCUCUGCCCUUUCGCUUCCUGCCUCUUCGGCCCGCCCCCUUCCGGGUCGUUGUCUCUGCUGCGCACCGCAUAGCACAGGUAGGCACACCUUUAGCUCGCCGGUUUUUCACUUAUAAAAGUAUUAUUUAACUAAAACAUAAUCUUGUCGUAGAUCGGCAUUACUGAGGCGGCCGUGGUGAUGCAUUUGGGCCGUUGCCUAGGUUGACCGGAGCAUAGCUGCUGGUCGCAUGGUGUGUGGUGGCAGUCCUCCCCCGCUGCGCCGACCCUCUUCACCCCUCUCCCUCUUUGGUGGGGACGCAAACCGACCGGACUGGAAACCGGUAUCUUGACCGUCACGGCCAAAGUUGGAGGCCGACGGUGAUGGUGGUGGUGGUUCCUCCUGGGUGGUGGUGGUCCCCUGUGUGCGUGUGAUUCCCAUUCAAGAUUAUUUUGUGUGCACUUCACGUUUGCUGUGUGAAUGGGGUGUUCCCCUCUUUUUUGGACGUCACUUCCCUUUUGUUGACCCCUCCUCCAGCCGGUAAGCCUCAGCUCGCAUCCCCUUCUACAGUUGGGCUCGCUUCAUAUUUAUUUCUUUCAUUGUCCCAGACCUUGUGAUUAGUUUUUUUAACAAUAAAGUUUUGUAUGACAUUUUGAACUCCGUCUCCUAACCUCCCUGUCUUGAACGAACCUGUGUCCUUUUACAAUAGUUGAUAAUUGACCUUUCCUACGGGUCCUUGGGCCCUAACCCAAGGUGGCGUUGUCGGUAAUAUAGGAGAAAAAAAUCAUUUGAGAGAUAACUUAGUAAAUCACCCCUAGUGCCGCCACAAACUUGGCGUUGGUCGGCAGGAUCAAAUCAGUGGAGGUGGAGACGUGUGUUCUGUUCCUUUUCUGUUAUUUUGUUUUCAGAUUGUUAGUGUGAGUGUGAAUGUACAGCAGUUUAAAGCGAACCAGCAGUGAAUUUAUUGUAUUUUUGUAGCCGUAGCAUCAGUAUUCACAGCUAAGUUGUAACUUAAAAAAAUAAAAAAAUAAAAAAAAAAUAAAAAAUAAAAAAUAUGGAGGGAGAGCUACAAGAGUUGAGGGAUUUGGUGGCACAGUUGAGGGCAGAGAAUGACAGGUUGCAGCAGGAGCAGGCUACAGCCGUGCCUGGUCCUAGUGUUGCAUCCUCCAUUCCUGCAGAACCUCUCCCAGCACCGUCCACUUCUACCGCUCGUGUAACAGAGCGUCUGGUCCUCAUACCCCGAGAUAGGAAGUGCCCAGUGUUUAGGGGUAAGUUAGGCAUAGGUCUAGAGGAGUGGAUUGAGGAGGCUCAAGCCUGCAUGAGGGCUCGCCACCUGUCCACUUUCGAUCAAUCGUUCUUUCUGUUUGACCAUUUAGAGGGAGAGGCACGUGAAGAAAUAAAAUAUCGCCCGGCCACCGAUAGAAGUGAUCCAGCUAAAAUUAUUGCGGUUUUGCGAGAACUAUAUGGCUGCUCUGAUUCGUAUGUUGCUCUACAGGAGGCGUUCUUUUCACGGCGACAGCAAGAUGGAGAGUCUCUUCAAGAGUUCUCCCUCGCAUUAAUGAAUUUGAUGUCUGCUGUGAAACAAAGUGCUCCCAGUGAGAUGCCAAAUGCGGAUGUUUUGUUGCGUGAUCAGUUUAUUGAAAAUGUUAUCGAUGGUUCUCUCCGCCGCGAACUAAAACAACUCACACGCAGGCAGCCUACCGUCUCUUUGCUGGAUGCUAGGGCAGAGGCAAUUAGGUGGGAGCGAGAGGGAUUGCCAGGAGGUGUGCGGGGCCGAAGCCACUCAGUUCCUACAGUGAUGGGUUUGCAGUGUGGUGUUAAGA